AGAGUUUGAUCAUGGCUCAGGACGAACGCUGGCGGCGUGCUUAACACAUGCAAGUCGAACGGAAAGGCCCUUCGGGGUACUCGAGUGGCGAACGGGUGAGUAACACGUGGGUGAUCUGCCCUGCACUCUGGGAUAAGCCUGGGAAACUGGGUCUAAUACCGGAUAGGACCGCAUGCUUCAUGGUGUGUGGUGCAAAGCUUUUGCGGUGUGGGAUGAGCCCGCGGCCUAUCAGCUUGUUGGUGGGGUAAUGGCCUACCAAGGCGACGACGGGUAGCCGGCCUGAGAGGGUGACCGGCCACACUGGGACUGAGAUACGGCCCAGACUCCUACGGGAGGCAGCAGUGGGGAAUAUUGCACAAUGGGCGCAAGCCUGAUGCAGCGACGCCGCGUGAGGGAUGACGGCCUUCGGGUUGUAAACCUCUUUCAGCACAGACGAAGCGCGAGUGACGGUAUGUGCAGAAGAAGGACCGGCCAACUACGUGCCAGCAGCCGCGGUAAUACGUAGGGUCCGAGCGUUGCCCGGAAUUACUGGGCGUAAAGAGCUCGUAGGUGGUUUGUCGCGUUGUUCGUGAAAACUCACAGCUUAACUGUGGGCGUGCGGGCGAUACGGGCAGACUGGAGUACUGCAGGGGAGACUGGAAUUCCUGGUGUAGCGGUGGAAUGCGCAGAUAUCAGGAGGAACACCGGUGGCGAAGGCGGGUCUCUGGGCAGUAACUGACGCUGAGGAGCGAAAGCGUGGGUAGCGAACAGGAUUAGAUACCCCGGUAGUCCAA
rnacentral:rRNA from 1 species